rnacentral:rRNA from 1 species
UACGAAGGGGGCUAGCGUUGUUCGGAUUUACUGGGCGUAAAGCGCACGUAGGCGGAUUGGUCAGUUAGGGGUGAAAUCCUGGAGCUCAACUCCAGAACUGCCUUUAAUACUGCCAGUCUCGAGUCCGGAAGAGGUAAGUGGAACUCCUAGUGUAGAGGUGGAAUUCGUAGAUAUCUGGAGGAACACCGGUGGCGAAGGCGACAUCCUGGACCGGUAUUGACGCUGAGGCGCGAAAGCCAGGGGAGCAAACGGG